rnacentral:lncRNA from 10 species
AGUGAAUCUAGAAUCAGGGCAGAGUGGAGUUGGUGGGAGCAUUGCAACAGCUCACUCAGGUGGAGACCUCCAAACUGGCCAUGCAGGAGAUGAUUCCUCACACAGCACAGAUGAGGCUGUGGGGCAGCAGGAGAUCAAAGUCCUCCAAAAAUGCAGCUGCUUCAGUGACAAGAGGGAAUUAUAAUCUUCAGACUCAGGAGGAAUAUGGGGUUGGUUUCAAGCCCAUGGAGCAGCACAAUCGAUUGAGAGCUACAACCUGUCCUGCCGCUGAGCCCCAUCCCAGUAGGCCAGCCACGCCCUCAAGGCCAAGAAGACCAGGCCAUGAAGAAUCUAAGGCCCACUGAGUGCCCAGGUAGCAAGGGCAGAGUGCCUCAGGGCUCGGUGAAGUUUGGGCUGAGCAUGGGCUCUGGAAGUCAGACAGCUACACUGGGCUAUCAGCUCCACUGUGACCAGCCCUGUGACUGGGGCAGGGGACUCACUGCUGUGGUACUUGAGCAUCACUGUCAUAAAUUGAAUGUGUCCGUCCAAUCCUUUUCUCUUUAUCUUUCUUCCUCUAUAAUCACAUGUACUACUGAUCUCUGUUAGUGUUUUUGUUCAAAUGAAUAAACAUAUGUUAU